rnacentral:rRNA from 1 species
UACCAGCUCUCCGAGUGGUGUGGAUGUUCAUUGGGCCUAAAGCAUCCGUAGCUGGCCGGGCAAGUCCCCUGUUAAAUCCACCGAUUUAAUCGUUGGAGUGCGGGGGAUACUGUUCGGCUAGGGGACGGGAGAGGCAGACGGUAUUUUCGGGGUAGGGGUGAAAUCCUAUAAUCCCGGGAAGACCACCAGUGGCGAAGGCUGUCUGCUAGAACGCGCCCGACGGUGAGGGAUGAAAGCUGGGGGAGCGAACCGGAUUAGAUACCCGGGUAGUCCCAGCUGUAAACGAUGCAGGCUAGGUGUUUGGGCGGCCACGUGCCGCUCUAGUGCCGCAGGGAAGCCGUUAAGCCUGCCGCCUGGGGAGUACGGCCGCAAGGCUGAAACUUAAAGGAAUUGGCGGGGGAGCACCACAAGGGGUGAAGCUUGCGGUUU